rnacentral:rRNA from 1 species
GACGAACGCUGGCGGCGUGCUUAACACAUGCAAGUCGAGCGGUAAGGCUCCUUCGGGAGUACACGAGCGGCGAACGGGUGAGUAACACGUGAGCAACCUGCCCUUCUCAUCGGAAUAAGCGUUGGAAACGACCUCUAAUGCCGAAUAUGACAACGGAUCGCAUGAUCUGUUGUGGAAAGCUCCGGCGGAGAAGGAUGGGCUCGCGGCCUAUCAGCUUGUUGGUGGGGUAACGGCCCACCAAGGCGACGACGGGUAGCCGGCCUUAGAGGGCGACCGGCCACACUGGGACUGCGACACCGCCCAGCCGCGUGCGGGAGGCAGCAGUGGGGAAUAUUGGACAAGGGGCGCAAGCCUGAUCCAGCAACGCCGCGUGGUGGAUGACGGCCUUCAGGUUGUAAACCUCGUUCAGCAGGGACGAAGCGAAAGUGACGGUACCUGCAGAAGAAGGACCGGCCAACUACGUGCCAGCCGCCGCCGUAACAC